UAGGGAAUUUUCGUCAAUGGGCGCAAGCCUGAACGAGCGAUGCCGCGUGAGUGAAGAAGGCCUUCGGGUCGUAAAGCUCUGUUGACGGGGGAAAAAAGGCAGCAUCAGGAAAUGGGUGCUGACUGAUGGUGCCCCGCCAGAAAGUCACGGCUAACUACGUGCC
rnacentral:rRNA from 1 species